AUAUUUGAGAGUUUGAUCCUGGCUCAGGAUGAACGCUGGCGGCGUGUCUAAGGCAUGCAAGUCGAACGCGUGUAGCAAUACACGAGUGGCAAACGGGUGCGUAACACAUUGGUAACCUGCCUCAAGGUUCGGAAUAACCCCGCGAAAGCGGGGCUAAUACCGGAUGAAAAUGGGGGGACAUAAGUCAUUCCCAUUUAAAGAUUUAUCGCCUUGAGAGGGGCCUAUGGCCUAUCAGCUAGUUGGUGAGGUAAUGGCUCACCA
rnacentral:ncRNA from 1 species